UCAGGUCGUCUGGGACACGUCUGCUUUCUGUCCCCAGAGUCACAACUAAACAUGGGGAAGCAGCGUUCAGUUUUUAUGCUCCACAUAUCUGGAAAAAACUCCCAGAAAAGUGCAGCGCGCUUCAAUCCUC